rnacentral:rRNA from 1 species
UACGGGGGGAGCAAGCGUUGUUCGGAUUUACUGGGCGUAAAGGGCGCGUAGGCGGCCACCGCAAGUCGACUGUGAAAUCUCCGGGACUUAACCCGGAAAGGUCAGCCGAUACUGCGGGGCUAGAGUGCAGAAGGGGCAACUGGAAUUCUCGGUGUAGCGGUGAAAUGCGUAGAUAUCGAGAGGAACACCUGCGGCGAAGGCGGGUUGCUGGGCUGACACUGACGCUGAGGCGCGAAAGCUAGGGGAGCGAACGGG